UAUACUGCAGUCGAGCGAACGGACGAGAAGCUUGCUUCUCUGAUGUUAGCGGCGGACGGGUGAGUAACACGUGGAUAACCUACCUAUAAGACUGGGAUAACUUCGGGAAACCGGAGCUAAUACCGGAUAAUAUUUUGAACCGCAUGGUUCAAAAGUGAAAGACGGUCUUGCUGUCACUUAUAGAUGGAUCCGCGCUGCAUUAGCUAGUUGGUAAGGUAACGGCUUACCAAGGCAACGAUGCAUAGCCGACCUGAGAGGGUGAUCGGCCACACUGGAACUGAGACACGGUCCAGACUCCUACGGGAGGCAGCAGUAGGGAAUCUUCCGCAAUGGGCGAAAGCCUGACGGAGCAACGCCGCGUGAGUGAUGAAGGUCUUCGGAUCGUAAAACUCUGUUAUUAGGGAAGAACAUAUGUGUAAGUAACUGUGCACAUCUUGACGGUACCUAAUCAGAAAGCCACGGCUAACUACGUGCCAGCA
rnacentral:rRNA from 1 species